rnacentral:rRNA from 1 species
UAGGGAAUCUUCGGCAAUGGACGAAAGUCUGACCGAGCAACGCCGCGUGAGUGAAGAAGGUUUUCGGAUCGUAAAACUCUGUUGUUAGAGAAGAACAAGGACGUUAGUAACUGAACGUCCCCUGACGGUAUCUAACCAGAAAGCCACGGCUAACUACGUGCCAGCAGCCGCGGUAAUACGUAGGUGGCAAGCGUUGUCCGGAUUUAUUGGGCGUAAAGCGAGCGCAGGCGGUUUCUUAAGUCUGAUGUGAAAGCCCCCGGCUCAACCGGGGAGGGUCAGUGGAAACUGGGAGAGUUGAGUGCAGAAGAGGAGAGUGGAAUUCCAUGUGUGGCGGUGAAAUGCGUAGAUAUAUGGAGGAACACCAGUGGCGAAGGCGGCUCUCUGGUCUGUAACUGACGCUGAGGCUCGAAAGCGUGGGGAGAAAACAGG